AGAAAAUAACCUUGUAAAGAAUACUUA
rnacentral:rRNA from 1 species